rnacentral:snoRNA from 1 species
AAGACUGUUCUUCUAGGGAUAAUUUCUAUAGUUCAGUCCCAGAGAAGGUUCUCUGACAGUGUGGAGCACCGGAAACCACAAGGAGGCACAGCAAUCUCUCCUGAGCGAGGAGCCUGCUCUUAGUGUUGUUUUGUUGUGGCUGCUGUUUGCCACUGUCAAUCGUUCUCUUCUUUCAGGAGAGUAAGAAGGGGAGGGUGCAGUCUGAGUGGU